CCCGCAAGCCAUAUCAUUUGAUGUUAUGAUGUUUCACACAAUUUUGAAAAUACUUUGCCUACAUUAUAGCUUUUAAGCACCCCUCAAAAAAAUAGUAAAUAGAGCAUGAAGAAAAACUAUGCAAGACUGUAAGUCUUGUAAUAGAGAGAUUAAAAUCAUAAAUCAUGCAUGUUAUGCUUCCAUAAUAAGCAAAGUAAACAUGAGCGAUUUCCAUGUUGCUAGUCAUGUGGAUGCCAACACUAUGAGUAGAGAAAUAGAUCAAAAUGUAAGCUGGAUGAUCUUUCAUGGGGUAGUGGAUAUGGUUUAACUUAGGAAAAAUUAUUGAACCAGGGCAAAUCCCAAAGUAUAUGCACAGUGGAUAGCGCACAAUCGAAAAUUGGUGAAAUACAAGGGAUAGCAUGGUGUAUUAUACAUUGUGGGAUUUGACGUGGUCCGAUUGCACCUGGUGCAUGCAAUAUGGAAGCUUAACCUAGACUCUUUUUUUGGUAGAUAGUUUUUUUUUGUACAAACGGGCGAUCACACCAUUUUAGUAUGAGUAUGGUCCAAAAAGUUAAAGUGCAAAAUACCACGAAGUGCCUAUGGACACACAUCUCCAUGGCUCUAGGAUCAGUCUCUGGUAUGAUCGGCAACGAACGAAACUAUCCAAUCUCCGACUUUAUUCACCUUUCGAUAGACAUAUCGAACAGCUAUUAUAGAAAAAUGAUAGAGGGACUUCUAGAUAUCAUGGAGCAGCAGGUGAGCUUCCAAUCGCUUCAUGUCAUCCCUGACUCAGCCAAUAACUAUAGCAGAGUCAUCCUCCAUGAAGAUGCUCUCCAUAUGCAGGUCCUAUCGUAUGCAGGUGAUGUCCGCCCAGGCUGCUUGGAGCUCUGCUCCUGAGACCGACGGCUCAAAUAGAUGUGAAACCCCAGCAGUC
rnacentral:lncRNA from 1 species